GAUGAAGACGUAGCGAAAUGCGAUAAGUAAUGUGAAUUGCAGAAUUCAGUGAAUCAUCGAAUCUUUGAACGCAUCUUGCGCUCCUUGGUAUUCUGAGGAGCAUGCCUGUUUGAGUGUCAUUAAAUUCUCAACUACACUGACUUUGAAUUGGUGUGGCUUGGAUUUGGGGGGAAAAUUGUUGUGGGCUUUUUGUAUAGUCUGCUCCCCUGAAAUUGAUUAGCGGUACCUUUGUGGAACUGUCUACAGGUGUGAUAAUUAUCUACAUCUUAGACAUCUGCUGGAAUGCUGCUUUCUAAACCUUACUUGUAUUGACAAUCUUGACCUCAAAUCAGGUAGGACUACCCGCUGAACUUAAGCAUAUCAAUAAGCGGAGGA
rnacentral:misc_RNA from 1 species